rnacentral:rRNA from 1 species
AAAGGAGACUGCCAGUGAUAAACUGGAGGAAGGUGGGGAUGACGUCAAGUCAUCAUGGCCCUUACGACCAGGGCUACACACGUGCUACAAUGGCGCAUACAAAGAGAAGCGACCUCGCGAGAGCAAGCGGACCUCAUAAAGUGCGUCGUAGUCCGGAUUGGAGUCUGCAACUCGACUCCAUGAAGUCGGAAUCGCUAGUAAUCGUGGAUCAGAAUGCCACGGUGAAUACGUUCCCGGGCCUUGUACACACCGCCCGUCACACCAUGGGAGUGGGUUGCAAAAGAAGUAGGUAGCUUAACCUUCGGGAGGGCGCUUACCACUUUGUGAUUCAUGACUGGGGUGAAGUCGUAACAAGGUAACCGUAGGGGAACCUG